rnacentral:misc_RNA from 1 species
UCGUAACAAGGUUUCCGUAGGUGAACCUGCGGAAGGAUCAUUAGUGAAUCUAGGACGUCCAACUUAACUUGGAGUCCGAACUCUCACUUUCUAACCCUGUGCAUCUGUUAAUUGGAAUAGUAGCUCUUCGGAGUGAACCACCAUUCACUUAUAAAACACAAAGUCUAUGAAUGUAUACAAAUUUAUAACAAAACAAAACUUUCAACAACGGAUCUCUUGGCUCUCGCAUCGAUGAAGAACGCAGCGAAAUGCGAUACGUAAUGUGAAUUGCAGAAUUCAGUGAAUCAUCGAAUCUUUGAACGCACCUUGCGCUCCUUGGUAUUCCGAGGAGCAUGCCUGUUUGAGUGUCAUGAAAUCUUCAACCCACCUCUUUCUUAGUGAAUCUGGUGGUGCUUGGUUUCUGAGCGCUGCUCUGCUUCGGCUUAGCUCGUUCGUAAUGCAUUAGCAUCCGCAACCGAACUUCGGAUUGACUUGGCGUAAUAGACUAUUCGCUGAGGAUUCUAGUUUACUAGAGCCGAGUUGGGUUAAAGGAAGCUCCUAAUCCUAAAGUCUAUUUUUUGAUUAGAUCUCAAAUCAGGUAGGACUACCCGCUGAACUUAAGCAUAUCAAUAAGCGGAGGAAAAGAAACUAACAAGGAUUCCCCUAGUAGCGGCGAGCGAAGCGGGAAGAGCUCA